ACAGUUUCCUAACAAUAUUCUUCCUGUGUCAAAUCAGGAAGUUUAAACUGCCCAGGAGCUGUUGAUUCAAUUUUACAGAAGAAUUAUUGAGGAUGUCACUUGUACUUCUUUAACUGUCUGGUUUAGUAAAGUAACCAAACAGGAUAGGUACAGACUCCAAAAAAUAGUUAGGACUGCAAAAGAACAAUUGCAAUCAUAGACAAUCUAUAUAUUGCAAGGAUCAGAAGGAGGACUGACAAAAUCUCUACAGAUCCCUCACUUCUAGACAUAAACGAUUUCAACUCUUUCCUUUGGGAUGCUACUAUAGGAUAUUGCAUGCCAAAACAAUUAGACACGGGGUCAGGAUUUUUUUUCCUCAUGCUUCUGCUGAACACCUAAUUCUCCUAAUACUGUCUAAUGUCUGUGUAUAUUUAGCCAUAGAUAGUAUAUU